UGGGGAAUAUUGGACAAUGGGCGCAAGCCUGAUCCAGCCAUGCCGCGUGAGUGAUGAAGGCCCUAGGGUUGUAAAGCUCUUUCACCGGUGAAGGUAAUGACGGUAACCGGAGAAGAAGCCCCGGCUAACUUCGUGCCAGCAGCCGCGGUAAUACGAAGGGGGCUAGCGUUGUUCGGAUUUACUGGGCGUAAAGCGCACGUAGGCGGACUUUUAAGUCAGGGGUGAAAUCCCGGGGCUCAACCCCGGAACUGCCUUUGAUACUGGAAGUCUUGAGUAUGGUAGGGGUGAGUGGAAUUCCGAGUGUAGGGGUGAAAUUCGUAGAUAUUCGGAGGAACACCAGUGGCGAAGGCGGCUCACUGGACCAUUACUGACGCUGAGGUGCGAAAGCGUGGGGAUCAAACAGG
rnacentral:rRNA from 1 species